rnacentral:rRNA from 1 species
GGGCCCGCACAAGCGGUGGAGCAUGUGGUUUAAUUCGAUGCAACGCGAAGAACCUUACCUGGUCUUGACAUACACAGAAUCUUGUAGAGAUACGAGAGUGCCUUCGGGAAUUGUGAUACAGGUGCUGCAUGGCUGUCGUCAGCUCGUGUCGUGAGAUGUUGGGUUAAGUCCCGCAACGAGCGCAACCCUUGUCCUUAGUUACCAGCACUUCGGGUGGGAACUCUAAGGAUACUGCCAGUGACAAACUGGAGGAAGGCGGGGACGACGUCAAGUCAUCAUGGCCCUUACGACCAGGGCUACACACGUGCUACAAUGGUAGGUACAGAGGGCAGCUACACAGCGAUGUGAUGC